rnacentral:rRNA from 1 species
AGCGGCGAACGGGUGAGUAACACGUAGGUGAUCUGCCCAUCAGACGGGGACAACGAUUGGAAACGAUCGCUAAUAUCGGAUAGGACGAAAGUUUAAAGGUGCUUCUGGCACCGCUGAUGGAUGAGCCUGCGGCGCAUUAGCUAGUUGGUAGGGUAAAGGCCUACCAAGGCGACGAUGCGUAGCCGACCUGAGAGGGUGAACGGCCACACUGGGACUGAGACACGGCCCAGACUCCUACGGGAGGCAGCAGUAGGGAAUCUUCGGCAAUGGGCGAAAGCCUGACCGAGCAACGCCGCGUGAAUGAUGAAGGCCUUCGGGUUGUAAAAUUCUGUUAUAAGGGAAGAACGACUUUAGUAGGAAAUGGCUAGAGUGUGACGGUACCUUAUGAGAAAGCCACGGCUAACUACGUGCCAGCAGCCGCGGUAAUACGUAGGUGGCGAGCGUUAUCCGGAAUUAUUGGGCGUAAAGAGCGCGCAGGCGGUUGAUUAAGUCUGAUGUGAAAGCCCACGGCUUAACCGUGGAGGGUCAUUGGAAACUGGUCGACUUGAGUGCAGAAGAGGGAAGUGGAAUUCCAUGUGUAGCGGUGAAAUGCGUAGAGAUAUGGAGGAACACCAGUGGCGAAGGCGGCUUCCUGGUCUGUAACUGACACUGAGGCGCGAAAGCGUAGGGAGCAAACAGGAUUAGAUACCCUGGUAGUCCACGCCGUAAACGAUGAGUGCUAAGUGU